GUGGAGGCUCUCUCUACAACCUCAUCAGCAAGACCAAUGGGCAAUCCCUGAAGGAGACCUGGAUUGGCUAUGUCUGCGAGGAGGUUUUAAAGGGGCUGCACCACAUCGACAAGAACCGGGCCGUUCAUAGAGACAUCAAGAGCCUGAACAUCAUGCUCACAGAGACGGCCAAAGUAAAGAUCCUCGACUUUGGAAACAGCUGGGACCUGGACCCGCAGACUGGAUUGUGCCACGAGGCGGACGGGACUCCACAUUGGAUGGCACACGAGGCCAUAAGGCAGAAGGGCCAGCGCCUGGCGUACGACACCAAAGUAUGUUCUACUUACUUAUCCGUGUUAAUGGAACAUAGAAGCAGUCAUUUUCUCAUUGAGAGA